GGAUGCAAAUUCUUUUAAAAUCAGCGCUUAAUUAAUUGCUUAGAAAAACAACCCAUUGCCAAAAAUGUGGGGGGUUGUUUUUAGGCUUUUUUUUUUUUUUGGCUUCUUUUUUUUCCAGUUGAGAAAGCUUUUUCAGUGGAGAAAAAAAAAAAAAAAAACUAAUUACAGGCAACAGCACACAGCGAAAUGCACGAAGGACAAAUCCAGCACCUUUUGAAAUGAGCCCCUCGGAAGGAAGAAUUAGCAACCUGGACGGAGCUCCAGGCAACUCCAGCUCUCCUGCGGCUGGUGCCCGACCUAAUUCGCUUCCAGCCAGCUCUGGUCAUUCCUCACAACACUGCAGAAAUCCUAGGAGAGCUGCGUAUCUAACACCUCUGACAAACACAGACAAUGACCAGAGAAAUUAAAACUGCCAGGAAUAAAAGAUAGCACAAAGAGAGCCCUGAGGAAAGUGCACAACGCCGCCGCCGGGAGGGCCAGCGAGUGGGAGACGUGGAGCCGCUGUCCAGCCCACCUGCUCCGGAGGAGAAGAGGGGGAACCUGUGACCCCACUCAAGGAUGCAGGCCUGAAACACGUACAGAGACAUCGUGGCGGGUCCCUUGGGUCCCCUUGCUCCACGCUUCAAUCUGCAGAAGAGCCCCGACCCCUUCAGAUACCUCGCAAUGUGACAAGCCGUAUGCUGUCCAGCCAGCAGCACAAGGACCCGAUUGUCCUCUUAUAAAAACAUGAAUUACGCCGAUAUAACCCAGCUCAUUUCUCUGCCUUCAUCAGGACAGCAUCGUAAGUGAGGAGAGAAUCAAGUCCUAAAUGUCUGCACGGUAUCUAUCCCCUACGCCUGUCAAUUUGAAGGUGAAAAACAAAACUUUUGGUGGAAGUUCUGGGACAAAUCCAACAAUUAAACACCACCCUGUGAAAAUAUACCCAGCUGUCCUUCAAAAAAGCUGAAUUUAAUGACAACUGUGGCUAGAAGGGUUUCCCUAUCACAAAAGAACCCCAAAACAUAGAUGACUUGUACCACAAAAAUGCUGAGAAAAGCCAAUGCAUAACCGAGAAAAUGGGCCGUGUGUAAUUAGGAAGGGAGGGAAAUGCAUUAGCCAAGUGAAGCCCCCCUUCUAGACCAGAUCUGACCUAUUCACUGGUUAAAAUCACUCUCUGGAGGAAGAAAUUGAAUGAUAGAAAGGAAAAGAGGGAUGCUGACAGAGAUACUGAGCAGAAUUCCUGGUGAUACUCCGGGGAUGGCGAGGCAGGACCACUUUUAGUUUGCAUCAAAUACAUGCACGGGGAAAAAAAAAAAAAAAAAAAAAAAAAAAAAACAAGCUAAGUACACCACAGGAGUCCUUCCUUCAGCCUCUACACACACAGAACUGGACUGACAGACGGCACUGAUUUACUCCACAGGCUCACCUGGUACACAGACCUGUUGUACAGUGCUUAAUUACUUUAUGUAGAGUAACUGUUCGGUACCACACAGGGACAAAUAGUAUUAUACAAUAACAUUAAUAAUGCCUACUACAACAGGAUUAUAUCCUUUCAGCUAUCCUGGUAUAGCUAUGUGACUUGCCACCAACCGUGGACACAGUGGGAUUUUUCAGCCUCUCUCUGUAUAUUUUCAAUCACGUACCUUUGCUUCAGUUUAAUUCCAUCCCUUCUAAGGCUAACAUUGCUUCAGCUAUUGCAGAGAAAAAUAUUACAGUUCAGCCCAUGGAGACACAAAGACACGCAUGCAGGGAAAUCAACGCUUGAGAAUAGGACUAUUAAAAGCAUUUUACAUUUCUGAUAUUGGAGGUGGAGUUUGUGGAGAGUCAGAAAGUAACUAACCAAACAGACCAAAGCUGAAUGAAUUUUGGCACUUUCUCCCAAAAGUAUGGGUUUUGAGAGAGAUCAAAUGGUUCCAUUCUGACCUUCACAUCUUAUCUGGGAGGUGACAGAUCUCGGAGCAUCUUUUGGAGCAUAUCAUAUCUGGGCAUCAAAGACAUCUAAAAAAAAUUCACGAAAGCUCCUCUGCCUACAGAUAGAAGUAUAACCAGAUACUACGACAAGGAAAUUGAAGCUAAGUAGAUUUUGACCAAAAAUAAGACACUCAUUUUUAACGGCCAAAGGCAAUUAACCUAGGAGCGCUUCUGAAGGACAGCGAAUGGUUUUCCAUCACUCAGUGUUUUUAAACCAAGGAUAGAUAUUUUUUAUCUAGACAGAUGUGGUUCAGACAAGGCAGCCUUAUGGCCAGCGCUACGCAGAAGGUCGAGGAUCCUGGCUCCUCCACAACCUGCCCAGCCGCUCACCUACUGACUCCCCGGCGCAGCUCCUGCAGCACAUCGCCUUGUUGUUCACAGUCUGUUUCCCCACGGAUGACCAGACCUGACCCUGCUGAGAUUACAAAAGCCAAAGGGUUCAGAAGUGAGGAAAACAGGAAAUCCAAACAGUGAAAAUCUCAGCAAUAACGUUUCCUAACAAAGACCUUCAGAUCUCACUCUCAGCCAACAGCUGUCUUCGUGACGUCCAAAAAGGACGAUGUUUAGUGUGGUAAAGACCGUCUUUCUGCCACUUAUUUUUACCCUGUUUAUUUUUCUAUACUGUGACAUUUUCCUCCUUGUUAAAAUCUUGCUCAUAAAUGAGGGUGCUAACCCAGACCUAAGAAAACAUACAGAAAUGUAUGUACUCCGUACGCUGAAAAUUCACGGGCCCACAGGAUGCAAUUCUCCCUCCAGAAAACCAAACCAAAACCUGUGCACCACUUAAAUUUCCCUUUGGGCUACUCCUUUGGAGUACUUCCCCUUUGGAGAACUGAAAUGAGAUGUGCUGUAGCUUAACUUACUGUACCACAGGGUAUAAGACUGCAAAGCAGCUCAAAACAUUAUCCCGUGGGGCAGCAAGAGCAAAAGGUGAAGAGUGAGGAAAGCUUAAUUUUGAAGGAAAAUGUCAUAUUUGAUUGCAUUACUGUUUUUGUAUUUUAGAUCUUAUCCAAAUUUCCUGACUUAAUAUCACAUACGUGCAAAUCGCACGCAUGGCCGUGACAUUCAUGUGAGCUCUGUGGGCCAGAUCUGGGGGUGGUGUAAAUUGGUGUAGCACCUGUGUCACUGGGUCAUAAAUAAAGACCUUGUCCUAGGUCUUUGCAGAGAGCAUUAAGGAAAUUUAAGGUGGCUGAAGAGGUAUUUUCUGUUUUAAGGUCUGGAAGUUGCUUUGCACUCAAAUUUUAAAUUUCGUCCACUUUUUAGGUGAAAUUUGACUUUUCUCCCCGGCAGUACGGGCAGGGCACGUGUGUGCCAUUACACUGCCAUCUAGUGAUGCGAGUUUGCAAGGCAAAAUAGUUGGCAAAAGAUGGCUGACCAGCAGCAAGUGCCAGAGUCCAAGUUGUGAAGGGAAGGGCCAGAACUAAGUUAAAGAUCAGACAAAAAGAAUUGCAAAGGGCACAGCCAGUGGUGGCCCCUCAAACACGUACAGGGAAGAAUAGGAUAACAAAAUGCAUGCAAGAGAGGGGGUUGCAAAGAAGCUCAUCCAUUAUCCAGCUGUUAGCCAUUGCAGGGCUCAUUGGGAGAGACAGUUUUGCAAUUACAACUCUCAAAGUCCAGCUUCUCGGCUGAUAGUAGCUGGCCUUGCUCUACCAAGCUCAUGUUCUGCCAAGCUCACGGUUAAGCAAAGCCUGCACAGAAGCUUUUUGCAGCAGCGACCCUCUUUCAAGCACCUAAAUCUCUUUGGCCAUCUUUCUCCCAGCUUUACGGGGCACAUUCUCAGUAUAACUCCCUCCUGAACUCAGUGCAGUUGUAUCAGGAGAUCUGGGCCAAAUUUAUUUUCUUUGUAACUGAUUUCAGUGGUGUCCACCUUGGACCACUUUGACUGUCUAUAUCCACAGCCAUUCCUAUGGUCAAUCAGCAUCCAAAAGGAUUUCCUAAGCUGCACAUCAUACUGCUUAUAGAAGAUCCUUGUGCUCAAGGGUUGGACAACAAAGCUUAGGCUUAACACAUGAACCUUUAUGAGUCAAAAUCCCAAUCCUAAUGUUUUACUCAUCUUGAGGAUAUUUGUCCUCAGUGGUAUGUGUGUCAGAGGGCGUGAAAGUGAGAGUGUCUUGAGGUUAACAAUUGUUCAUACUCAUAGUGGAUGAAUCAUAUGAUAACACCACAGCAACAUCCUGUAUAAUUGUCGGGAGCCUCUAUUUCUGGCAGUGUGUCCCUAGGCUGUCUCAUGAGUAAAUGUUAUUUGUGCUUUACUAUAUAAAACCAAAACCAAACAAAAUUAUACAACGGGACACUAUUCUGCAGGCACUAGCCAAAAUCACAAGUGCCUAAUUGAGCCUUCAGUAACCCUCUUCAGCGAUAAAUUGUGUGAUGAAGUUAAUAAGACUGAGAUGGAUAUCUCUGUUCUUCAGCUGACUAGUACAUGAGCAACUCUCCACAUCUACAAGCAUGUCGCUCCCCCCUUUUCUCCCUCCCUGCCGGCUGUUCAGAGCUGCUGUCCGCGGGCUUUGCUGCACCAGGAGCACGCCCAGCCCGCUUCACCAACCCAAGCACGCGCGUACCUGUGGAAAGCAAAAUUCAGCACAGCAAGCACAUCAGAAGUUGGAUUUAAAGCAAACUCCUCGGCCUGCAGUAAGAACACCGACUGUCCGUACCACCCUCGGCACAAAAAGGCACCAAUUUGGCAUGGAUCCCCUGUGUUAGGGUUUCAGACAUACAUUUCUACGGUACCAGGGCCGCCCAGAUAACCUGCUCAGCUCCUCUGGGGUGCCUGUAGGGCGGCUGUCCCGUGGUCCUCCCUUGGGAAGCGCUUCCUCUGGACACUCUUGUAGGAUGCACACUUAGGGCAGAGGCCAGUUUUUGUUUGCCUUUGUAAGGUGAUGGCAGGAUUUUGGCCGACGGUUUGUGACUCCGGAUCCGAAGCAGCAACGAAAGAACGUGCUGGCAAACGCAGCUAGUGUUUGUCCCCUGAUCACAGAGGCUUCGAGGGAACCACGGGUGAAACGGCCUGGGAAAAAUCAGGCAAGUGGCACAACCACCUCUCCACGUGGAACAAAGCUCUCCAUGCUAUAAACCUAUCCCAUUCAAAAUUUUCAGAACAAAUGUUUAUUUCUCGUUAGAAAAAAAACUUCUCGUUUUGAUGUUUCCUAGCUUUAGUAUUACAUUUUCAUAACUUCAAGAAAAAUCCAAAAGCAAUGUAGAGUUUUUUCAGUCUUUCUAUACUGAACACAGACUGUAUUCUAAAAAUAGAAAAUAUUACGAUGACAUCGUAAAUUCUGCUCAAGUGUAUUUUUUUUUUUCUUUUUCCUGAGGGAGGAGAUGGACAGGUAGAGAAAAAUCUUCCUCCUGAGAAUUUCAAAGUAUGGGUCUGUUUCUGAAAACAGCUAAAUUUGAAAUCCUUUACAAGGACUGUCUUCUGUGUAUCUCUAAUAAUACCAUACUUUUCAAAUGCCACCCAAGUUCACUAAAAGAUUGCCAUUAUUUUUUCAUUUUCAAUGGAAAUGCCUACUUUCAGUGUUUCAGCCACUACUUGCAGUAGAAAUUUACCAGAUAUUCACACCAAUAAGACUGAGAUUUUAAAAACAAUCUAGGGGGUGAGCCACACAUCUUCCAUAAAAAUUAAAGUACCCUUGACAGCUUCAGAUUAUGAUGAGAUUAAUUUUAAGGAAGUCUGUUUAAUAUUAGGGUAGAAGGGCUGAUAUUAGAGUGGGGGACCUGAAACCCUUUUCAUUGCGGUGGGAGCAGAUGAGAAUUUCUACAUGCGCAGCACCCAAAAGGCACUGCUCUGGGUUCGGAAGGGAUUUUAAAUUAUUUAACUUCGCAUCAAAAAAUAAAAUAAUCCAACAAGAAAAUGAGAAUAUGGGCAAAACAAAGCAGUAACGAUUUACGAGGUCACGUUUACUAUUUUGCCUUCAAAUCUGUAGAUCCCUCGCUCGCGUUUCGCUGCUCCCAGAUCCCCGCUCUCCAUCUGACCUGCGUCAGACCCCAACCCAACUCAGCCCCCAUCUCCCCAAACCAAAGGUUUCCAUAAACCACUCGCUGCAGCGCCGGCCUGAGCAUUCCCCGGUACAAAGUAUGAAAAAAAAUCCCAUCAAAUUCAAAAAAUAUCUCCACUGCUGCCUCCUCAUUUCCUGGCGGCAGCCGGGCCCGGAAAUAGCUCCAUUUCCUGAGUAAGCUGCUCCCCGGGGAGCUGCAGCCCGGCUGCAGCAAGCAGCCACCGCAGCUCAGGGCUGGACUAACUCCUCUCGCUGGGUUUAAGUUUGAGCUGGAAUUCCAGCUUUACGGCAUUUAUGUUUAGCAAGGGACACCUAGGAAGGUAACGCGACAGGGGGUAUAAAUAACAAAACAAGAUAGGAAUAAAAUACGUGUUUUGAGGGGGGAAGUGUUGUCGACAGCCAUACUUAGUAUUCAAUUAAAUUAAGUGCAACUCCAUCGUCCCCCAUGUUUUAAAGGAGAGCCUCCUCAGUCUGUACUCUGUAUAUAGCUUAUCAAUUUGGUCCUGAUUAUUCCAAGUGGCGUCUUUUCCUGCAAAGCAGCCACAUUCAGCAAGAAACGCAAUUUAUUAAGACAAGGCGAAGGCUUGGUUUUAGCAGAGUGGGAAGAGAUUUAAUAGUCCAGAGGGAGGGGGGAAAGAUGGAUGAACACAGACGACUUCUGAGAAACUCUGCAAAUAGGUGGAGCGAUUCACAAUCCAAUAAGCCCCUUGGGAAAGCCUUAUCAUUCCUUCCCGCACUGGAAAUCCAUUCUUCCAUGGCUCUUUGUGGCCAGAGAAGUCUCUCUAAUUAACCAAAGAGGUGUGAAGUCCAGAACAGUCCAUACACCUUUCAAGCAGUCGUAUUAGAUUGCUCAUCAAUGGAGAAGCUAAGCUGUAUUUCGGAGUUUUUGCCACGUUACCUUUGCAGUGCCUAUGAGAAAAGAGCACUCGUGGCUACAGAGACAGAGAGCCACCUUGGGCAUAAUCAUUUUCCAGCUGUAACCAUCUCAAAGUUGGAUUUCAAUUCUCAUCUAACUGUUUAGGUGCUUUAUAUCACAAAUGUAGAGAGAGGGGCAUCCGCAGAGGUAAAUCAACCAACCCUAGAGUGGAGGGAAUGAUGGACACUAGCAAUAACUCUCCUGGGUAGCAGCUUGCAUUUUAUUUAUUUAUUUAUUGCAUUUUAUUUAUUGGCUUUUAUUUAUUUUUUUUAUUUUUUUUUUCGAUUUUAGAGUAGAUGGCUUGGCCUAUAAACUUAGUCAAGAGAAAUCUCAUUCACGCAGGCAAUUUAAGGAAAAAAUAAUAAAACGUCAUAAAAGAAGAGCCUAACUCCCACUGAAAUUAAAUAACAACUUCAAAAAGUGGCUGUCAGCGACCUAAGGUCACGCAGUGAGUUUGCAGCUGGGAACCACGGGUUCCUCAGAGCUGGUGUACAAAGAAGCAGGCCUGGACCUGACUUCUGCAUCUCCCACACAGUGGAUGUCAGUUGAUAAAUCUGUGCCAAAUUUAAUUGUUGAAAAUAUCACCUCAACCUGACCACUGUGUAACCCAAUCAAUCUGCUGAGCCUUCACAUUUUUUACCCACAAAACAUCUUUGCUUUGGUAAUUAUCAAUCACCCUUAUGCAGAAAGGUUCCUCCAUUUUUUUAAACUGCUCAAUCCUUUGAGAGAGAGAUGAAUUUUAAUGAUUUAGAUUAUUAACCUAAAGGUUGAUCCAGACUGGGAGGAACAGAAUAAUUUGUUUAAUCAUUAUUAUUAUUUAUAAUUAUUUAACGUAGGGGAGAAAAAUAUCACCUUAAAUGUCAUCAUGAUGCUUUUUAAUUGCCUCAGAUGAAAUUCAGAAUAAUCAUUGCUCUGUAAAUGUAUCCAGAUCUAAUUUUAAAUACCCUAAGAUGCUGGAUAUUUAUCUGAAAAACGCAAAGAACAUAUAUUCAUUACUGUAUAGGCAGUUACAAAGACGGAAAAAAUUGAUCAACCGUGUAUUGAAAAUGAAUUAUUUUCCCAAUUCACAACUGGGCUGUAAUUUGACUUGAGGCAGAAAAACAAGCUGAGCCAGGUAUUUUUUCUUAUUCCUUCAUUCCAGGAGUUUAGUAUGUGUCCUCUACCAAAAGGUAUGUUUUAUGGAUGCUUAAGAACAUAACUUUGUGUGACCGUAAUUUGUAAUAUAUGUGUUGUAGAGAAGUGUAGUUAAUGGUCACGAGGAGGGAUGCCCAGCAUAUGCGGAAUUUCAGUAGACGAGGAAUAUUGGUACACACGCCCAUAUGGGGAGUAUGAGUACACAGGAAAUACAGGAGACUUGACAGUUCCAAAGGGAUUUUUUGUUUGGAACCUGAGGGAGAUGUGCACGCAUGCAAAGUGGUUCUUGAGAUGGAGGACAUCUCUGUGUAGGGCCAGCGUCUCAAGGGAAUAAAAAGCAUAAAAAUGGGAUAUGGGAAAGGCAGGAUGGGAUUCCCUGGGGAGGUUCCACACCCGUGCUUGUAUGCACACACCACAAUUUAGUGAUGAUGCACCCAGUGUGAUUUACUAUCAAAUUCAAGCGAAAUGGAACCCAUUUUUAUUUCCACAUGGGAAAGACACUCU